rnacentral:rRNA from 1 species
AUUGAACGCUGGCGGCAGGCCUAACACAUGCAAGUCGAGCGGGGUUUUCGGACCUAGCGGCGGACGGGUGAGUAAUGCGUAGGAAGCUACCCGAUAGAGGGGGAUACCAGUUGGAAACGACUGUUAAUACCGCAUAAUGUCUACGGACCAAAGUGUGGGACCUUCGGGCCACAUGCUAUCGGAUGCGCCUACGUGGGAUUAGCUAGUUGGUGAGGUAAUGGCUCACCAAGGCGACGAUCCCUAGCUGGUUUGAGAGGAUGAUCAGCCACACUGGAACUGAGACACGGUCCAGACUCCUACGGGAGGCAGCAGUGGGGAAUAUUGGACAAUGGGCGCAAGCCUGAUCCAGCCAUGCCGCGUGUGUGAAGAAGGCCUUCGGGUUGUAAGGCACUUUCAGUAGGGAGGAAGCGUUGUGUGUUAAUAGUACACAGCGUUGACGUUACCUACAGAAGAAGUACCGGCUAACUCUGUGCCAGCCGCCGCCGUAAGAC